AUUGAACGCUGGCGGCAUGCCUUACACAUGCAAGUCGAACGGCAGCACGGGAGCAAUCCUGGUGGCGAGUGGCGAACGGGUGAGUAAUAUAUCGGAACGUGCCCAGUCGUGGGGAUAACGUAGCGAAAGCUACGCUAAUACCGCAUACGAUCUAUGGAUGAAAGCGGGGGAUCGCAAGACCUCGCGCGAUUGGAGCGGCCGAUAUCAGAUUAGGUAGUUGGUGAGGUAAAGGCUCACCAAGUCGACGAUCUGUAGCUGGUCUGAGAGGACGACCAGCCACACUGGGACUGAGACACGGCCCAGACUCCUACGGGAGGCAGCAGUGGGGAAUUUUGGACAAUGGGCGCAAGCCUGAUCCAGCAAUGCCGCGUGCAGGAUGAAGGCCUCGG
rnacentral:rRNA from 1 species